AAAUAAGCGGGUGACUAAAUUUGAAAGGCCUGAAGAAAAAACCUAGGCUCAGCACGUCCAGGAAUCAAACCCACAACUCAUAACCACAAUCGGUUACGCAAGGAAUGAAUUCGGCUAAUAAUUCCUAAACCAACCAAGAACCAACGAUCUAGGCACACUUCCGGAUGGAGAAGCCGGACAAGAAGUCACAUACGCAAUCACCCUAGAAUCGAGCCACGACGCCUAAAAGAAAGAAAACAUAAGAUACUUUGAGUCAGUCCUUCGUUAACAACGCAUGAAACCUUGUAUAGAACAACCCUAAUCGAGUAAUACUUGAACAACAGUUAGACAUAAACGUCAAAGAAAUACAAAAAAAUUAGAGAAAUCUUCAUACAAUCUCACACGCGAGGCCAAGUAACGUAAAAAGCGUACCCUAACCGCCGAAUCAAUACCGUAUACACACCAUGCUCACUUAGUUCUCGGGAAAUCCGAAGCUACGUCAAACCCUCAUGUAAUCCGUACACUAGUACAAAUCCACUUGAGAAGUUAAUAAACGAGUCGAUUUUGACCUAGCCAACCUAUAUUAACCCUUGGAAUAUACAAAGAACUAACGUAUCAUUGGUUGCUUCCCGGAUCUGUUCUUACGGACGACGUCAUCUCUAUAGGUACGGGACAACUUACUCUACCGUCUUAAAUACAGUAAAUGAUGAGCUGUUUCGCUACACGCCGAGUAUAUGACGAUGACUAAAUAUAAGUACUCUGCCAUCACAUAUAGAGGUAACGUUCAUAUCACUCGUAACUUAGACUAAAACGAAGGGAACAUCGUGUCAUCUGAUCAAUUACUUCCCCUUCAAAUUCUCGUCUUCUUAUAUCAAUUACCAAGGACCUACUCUUCACCUUUACGAUGACCGACACCUUCCUCCUCCAAAGAAGAGUAGCAGUCGAAGUCCUAUGUCAGUACCGGAACGAGAAAACGACGAACCUGCCUUUCUUCUUCUCUUCGGACAGUUCCGUACCUCAGUCAUGGCUGAUCAGCUACCCCUUCGACUCGUACACAUAGUAGACCGAUUGUGCUUUUUGGUUCGAGGGGCAUUUACACGAGGGAAGUAGACGAAGCCAUCGUGACGAAACCUCGAGCUUCCCCGCAGAGGAGGCUUUAACUCAAGUUCGUUGUGAAACCUGAGAAACCUUCUCGGUAGGGCAAGUUGUUUCUUCUUCCAAUGGUGAUUACCAAGGUAUUGACCUCUACUCUCUUUUCCAACAGAAUUCUCGUUGAGUUUUUCCCUAAGCAGUCUCGUAACAUAUCACCACUCACUUCUACUUCUUGGUGCACUCAGUGACCUUCUCCACGUUUGGAACUUUAGACCAUAUCUUGCCUCUUUUCAAGUUACCUGACUAUGUACACCUUUCUUCGAAAAACUCUAUUCCCUUAAGCUUCGGUCGCUACCUUCAAACAGUCUACUACUUGACCUUUUACUCCCAAAGUCCUUCACACUCACACACUAAGUCAUCUAAAAAGCAGACGGUAAACUUUGUUACCUAUCGACGUCGAAAAGACGAUCCUAUACGAAUACGACGGUUGAAGAGUUGUUAGACCCACUAUGGACACCGAACUUCAAUUUGUUCGUUUCCUACUAGUAUAUACAGACGAAAGGACAAUCGAUCGAACAUGCCAUCCCAACGUCAAAACUACGGGCGACAUAGUAUAGUUCUAAACUGGGUAAAUAAAUAAAAGCGGAAUAAAAGGAAGGAAACACAAGUGUACGAGGUCCAACAUUCUCGUUGAGAUCGUCUGGGACGUUUUUAAGCUGGGCGUUUUGUGCAAACGCCAAAGUGCUUCUAGCGCAAACGCCCAGCUUUUGUACGCGCCGGCUAGUCUAUGGCAUAGAUUUGAACGUAUUAAACUUUUUUGUGCAAGCACCCUCUUUAACGUGUUUGUAUCAAGUAGUGUAGUGUAUGAUCUCUCAAGUAUGUAUGAUGUACUAGUUGUUUAAUUCGUAUCUAGUAUCAUUUACGAUGCAAUUGAUCAUCAUCUCCCCCAGCCUAGACUGCCGCCGCUCCAGCGCCGUUUUACCUGCUGCGGCACCUCCGGCUCGCUCCGAGUUAGGAGGAUCAGCCUCGACGUGUCUAGCUGCAUGAAGCGGCGGACGAGGCGCGCCUACGCCGUGGUCAGGAGUCGGAAGAGCAACCGCCGCUGCAACAGCCGCUGGCGGACGGCGGUGAGCUCCCGAAGCUCGAGGAGCCGCACCGCGGCCGCGAGGCGGAGGAGCGCGUGCGAGGCGAGUCGCUACCGCCGUCGUUGCCGGUUCCAAAAACUCAGCGGCUCAGUUCGGUUCAGCGGCUCCGACGCCGAUCACCGAACGACCGAACUCAGUGGCUGAACCGAACUAAUCAGCGGGGUUCAGCGGUACUCGUCAAGAUGUAUAUUUAUGGUAGUGUCGUUGUCUUUAUUGUGAGACUUUAUUUAUCUUGUCCAAUGAGACGUUAUAUGCUUAUGAUACCCCAGAAAGACUAUUUUUAUGAUACCCCAGAAAGACUAUUUUGUGGUCUCGUGUUGGCUGUCUCCUUGCCUAUUCCUACCAUGCCCGCUCCUAGAGAGGACGGAUCAGUGGCGAGGGAUAGGAGUAGCGGGGAAGGGAGGUGUAUGUUGGGUUGGGCGCGAGAGAAAGGUCGUCGUCCCGUUGUUGUUUCUCUCCGUCGUCGUCGUCCCGUCUCCCUCGACAUGGACGAUCCCAAACGACCGCGUACGCGUCUACGACCUCUCACCUCUGCCUCCACUUCCCCGGCCUCAUCUACCUCCACCUCCGCCUCCUCCGAGCACCCCCUCGCCGCCGACACCUAGACCUCCCGACCUCCCCCUCGCCGCGGCCGCCGGCGUCUAGACCUCCCCUCCCCGACGCGCCUCGGUCGAGAGAAAAAGGAAGCAAAGGGAGAGAGGGAGAGACACUUGGGCGCACCUCUCGGUCGAGAGAAAUAGGAGGGGUUUUAAAAAAACGGUCACCCGGAUCGACCUCGUUCGGUCCGCUGGCCGCCGAUGAUCGGUCGCUGAUUAGUGCCGUUCAGCGGCCGCUCAGCGCACUGAGCGAGGGACUCAGUUCAGCGGACGCACUCGGUCGGUGCGGUACUGCUGAGCUGCUAAUCAGCCGCUGAGUUUUUGGAACCGUUGCCGCAGUUUCAGGCGCUGCAUCAGGAGCCCGGGCUGCUGAGGCGCCGCCGGCUCGCCUCGCCCGAGGAGCCCGAGGAGGAAGUGGCCCUGCUUCCGCUUGCCGCGGCCGAGGAGGAGCAGCAAGCUGGUGAGGGAGAAGUGCCUCUCUUUCGGGCACGGCCUCCUGCUCCUCCUAGGCCGCAUCCUUCUGGAGCGCCUCCUCUUCCUGCGCGCGGCCGCCAGCAUGAGGAGGCAGAGCGCCGCCAACUUCGAGCGGCCGCCGCUGUAGGGAACCAACCAGGUGAAGGCCCGAGGCGCGAAGGAGCACGGCAGGCUGGCCUGCGCGUCGAGCGCGAGGCCCAGGGAGAGUGCCGACCUAGACGACGGCCUCGGCGCAGGCCUCGAGGUGUAAGCCGGGGUGUACCGCCGACCUCCGCCCCGGCCACCAGCGGCCGCCGCUCUUUACACCUCUUCCCUUUCCCCUUAGCUCACCGAGCGCCGCCGCCGCCCUGUCCCAAACCUGGGCGUUUUCCCAGUGCCUUGGCGUCAAUAUGACGAGCCCCGCACGCCAAACGCCCGACGCCGUUUUUUUAAACGCCCGACGCCGUUUAAAAAAACGCCCGGCUCGUUCAUACGCCCGAGACAAGACCGGCUUUUUAACCCGGCUCGGGUGUAUGAGCGGCCUUAAAAACGCCCGGCCCACAAAACGCCUCAGACGAUCUCAACGAGAUUGUAUAUUCCUACAAUUAUUCACAAAAGUCAAAGUCCCUACAACUAAGGACGGUAGAAACGAAACGAAACGAGGAGUGUACAAUUCACUACGGGACAAUUGAGUAAAGGAUAGUUCUACGACAAUUGAGUAAACAACUACUACCGAUAAUAACAAUCGAGGAGCAUACUUUCGAAAGAGCGGGUUCACCUAUAGAACCUACUUCAGAAAACAGAGCCCUCCUUCACAUCGAUAUUUCUAUUUGCUACUACAUCCUGGAAUACAAGUUUGUUUCUUCCCAGAAGCUGUCCCACUAGGGGAUAAGUAAUCCGAGAAGUUGUAGCAUAGACGGUACAACCGGCAAGAUUAACUAUUUCGGUUUCGUCUACUCGUCUAAUCACCUCAUUACAGUGUAGAUCAACUACCUCCGGAUAGAUAAGAAGUCAUACUACUGGAUUCCUUCCGAGUAUUAUUCUUCUAUAAUGAAACACGUAAGCUCGUUGAUAGCCCAGAAUGUUAAUUAAAGGUAUUCUCACUCAAUAAGACAAAACCUGUUCGGGUUUGAUACCUCUUAUAUGUGGCUCUAAAAACCAACACGGAGGCUACUUAAAGGUAGAUGCAUAAAUCCAUAAGGAAAGGUUUUGAAUGUUUACAACUUACCCUUUC
rnacentral:rRNA from 1 species